UCAAUCGACGGCGAAGCGGAAGCGGAAGCGGAGCUACCUCGCACGAAAUAGGCGGAUUGAUUACAGGGGAAGGAAACAACUUUCAAUUUUGAACUCGUUUCCGGCUGCUUUACACGUUGUUCGUGAAGAAGAUUGAUAUAUAACAAGAAUUAUAAAAUUCUGAAGAGUCUGCUCGGAUUUGAACAGUCUGACAUUUACUACAAUAACAGAAUACUUAUGUUUUUUUCAUUUGCUUGUUGGAUGUUUUAUGGAAUAUUGUUUCUGUUUUUCAAACGCGUAGCUUUCUAACCCUGCAACUCUGCUACUAGAUCAGUAAGAUGCAGCUAGUGAGUUUCAAAUUCUCAGUGAAUGGAUGAUAUAAUUGCGAGUUUGUGUUAACUAUAGAAUCAAACUUCUAUCUUAAAAGGAUUAAAGUAAUUUUUUUCCUGUCUAUCUUAUUUGCAUUUUAAGCUGAUUAUGUAGUAUUCAUGACUCAUGAGUUUUCCUACCUGUAUUACAUCUAAAUCAGUGUAAUUCAUCAGUCCUUGUUCCUCAAUCUUCUUUAUAAGAAAGCAUUCUUAAUGGAACAAUAGUAGCAGUUCAAGAUUUUGGAUUUGUUGCAGGCACGUAAAAGAUGGUCUGCUAACAAUAGGUGAACUACCAGACCUAUUUCCAUCAAUAUGAUCACAAUCAUUAAUCGUAUCCUAGCUUCUGGUGGUCAAACUUAUGAAUGAUCCUUUAUUAAGUUUUUCUUAUUGUGGGAUUAAAUCCAACUUGUGUAAACUGCACAACUUCACUUUAUCUUGCAUUUUUGUUAACCAUGCUUCUUAUUCCUUCCAUAUGCACCUGCCAUGUUUGAACAUCUUCAGCUCUCCAAUAUUUAAUUUAUUUAACUUUUAUAUAAUAUCAAGCUGGGUGCCAGCUUCUUUGAUGCUGAUUUAACUGGUGCUGAUCUUUUUGACGCUGAUCUUAGAGGUGCAGAUUUAUCCUUGGCAAAUUUUACUAAGGCAAAUCUAAGUAAUGCAAACCUUGAAGGUGCACUUGCUACUGGAAAUACGUCUUUUAAAGGCAAAUCUAAGUAAUGCAAACCUUGAAGGUGCACUUGCUAAGUAAUGCAAACCUUGAAGGUGACUUCACUGAUGUUCCAUUGAGAGAUGACCAACGAGAUUACCUAUGCAAAGUUGCUGAUGGGGUGAAUCCAGUGACUGGGAAUGCAACGAGAGACUCCUUACUUUGCAAUUGAUACAGGCUCUUCUCCUCUGUUGUACGUAUUGUUGAACCUUUGGCUAGUUUCUAUUUUUCAAUGUUUAACUAUGUAACAAGGAAAUGCUAAAUAGAUAAUUUUUGAGUUGGUUGUUUGUCAAAGAAAAAAAAAGCUUGCAAUUUAUAAAUUUGCUUUUUCAAGGUGUUAGUAUCUUCAAGCUCAUCUAAAGUGGCCUAUUCUGGACAAAUUUUUUGGAUAAUUAUAUGGUCAAAAACCCAUAUGCGUGUUGUUUUCUCAAUGCAUUGGCAUUAAUACUUUAUAUUUGUCCAUCUAAUUUGAAUGUAAAUAAGCAUGACGUUAUUUGAUUUGUUGUUUUUUUAAUGUCAAGUAAAUUUUUAUUGCAUUUACUUAUAAUUUCAGAUAGAUUUAUUAUGUAUGCAUUCACCUGUAAUUUUGAAAUAAUGCUAAUUUUAUUUGAGAAUAGUUUUACAAGGCUUUGCUAGUAUGAAAAUGACUAGUGUUUAGUUAUUAAGCAUGCUGGAAACAAUUCCUACCAACAAUCUGUCACAUUAGUCUAUAAUCUAGUUUGUGGACUUGUGUAUGUAUAAGGUUAUUAUGUUAGUCGUACUCCAGUUUUUCAUUUUAUAUAGGUUGUUGUUGUUAUUGUGAAUAGUUUCAGUAAAGAUAUUAUAAGCAGGCUGUUUCAUAUUUCCUAAUCAAAUCUUCCAUUUUGGUCAAAAUCUGGUUAUGAAGAAAACCAUCAUGAAAGAGAACUGAGGGACUAAUGGUACAUUCAUUAUGGCCUAUGCUCCCACGGUUCUUCCCCUUGCACAAAUUUCUUUAUUAGAUUCUAAUGACAUGUAUUCAUAGCUAUUUCUACAAGUUGCAAAAGAUGAGCAUAAGCGUAUCCUCACGGUAAGCUGCAGAAAAUGGCAUAGAGCUGCAGGCUUGCUAUCGAUCGACAAACAUGGACGGUAUGAUAUUUUUCAUCAAAAUAUACAAAAGCAGUUUUUCAUACAUAUUAAAUUUAUUACAAAACUCUUAUUAAAAGGACAAUUAAAAUGCACUUAAAAAAUGUCAAUUUGAAUGUGGUUCAUCUUUAAUCUGCUUGAUAUAUUUCAAUGCUUCAGCAUAAUUAAUAGCUAUAACAAGUGUUUAACAACAGGAAUUUGUGAAUGUAACAACUAUUGUGGUGCUCAAUAAGCUUGAGGAUUCGCAUCUUAUCUUGUGAUCAAGUGAAGAUAGCUUUCUCAUGUACCAAAAUAUCUUAUGCUUAUUUCCAUUGCUCCAGGAUUCUAGUGAGUUAAAUAAGAUGUUUCAUGCGAUCACAGUCCUUUGCCAUGCAUGUUUUUUCUAUUUAUGGUGUAGUAGGUUUUUUAUUUAUUUUAUUUUAUUAAUUUAUUAUUUGAGGAUAUUGGCCAUAAUCUCUAUUUAUGGCAGAAAAUCAAGGGCCCCUCUUGGCUAUCAAUUUCAAGAUUUGUCAACAGUGCAGCUUCUGAACAAGUGCUAUAAUAUUUCUCUCAUUUGAAAGACCUGCGGUCAUUUUAUGGUUCCAUAUGGCUCCAUCUCCUUCACCCUCACCGAUUUUGCCGGCGAUUGUGUGUUGUAUGUGCGGCGAUCUCAGGCUUCCGGAACAGCUCUUUAGAUGCAAGUCGUGUAUCUUUAAAUCGCAACACAAGACAAGGGCAAGGCAGUUAGAAAUGAGGUUGAACCAAAGGAUAGAAGUGGUGGAAGAGAUACCAUUUUGUUAAAAAUCUGGAUUCACUGCUUAUUUCCUCAGUGCAGGUUGGAGUGCAUGACAAUGAUGUGGAAAUAGAGAUCCCAAGACUUAGUUGUUAUUGUGUAAAGAAAUUGCCCUCAUGAUAAGGGCUAUUUUUUUUAUUUUCAUGUAAUGUUUUGUGAAGACAUUUAUUGUAAUAGAUUGAUUAUGUACAUAUAUGCAUAUUAAAGUCAAAUUUAUGUUGUAUUUAACGUGGGAAAUUGUUGUAAUUUUAUAUUUCUGAAAUAAUUUUUUAUUCAAAGAAAAUAUUUAUGUAA